rnacentral:rRNA from 1 species
GACGAACGCUGGCGGCGUGCCUAAUACAUGCAAGUAGAACGCACAGUUUAUACCGUAGCUUGCUACACCAUAGACUGUGAGUUGCGAACGGGUGAGUAACGCGUAGGUAACCUGCCUGGUAGCGGGGGAUAACUAUUGGAAACGAUAGCUAAUACCGCAUAAUAUUAAUUAUUGCAUGAUAAUUAAUUGAAAGGUGCAAUUGCACCACUACCAGAUGGACCUGCGUUGUAUUAGCUAGUAGGUGAGGUAACGGCUCACCUAGGCGACGAUACAUAGCCGACCUGAGAGGGUGAUCGGCCACACUGGGACUGAGACACGGCCCAGACUCCUACGGGAGGCAGCAGUAGGGAAUCUUCGGCAAUGGACGAAAGUCUGACCGAGCAACGCCGCGUGAGUGAAGAAGGGUGUCGGACCGUAAAGCUCUGUUGUAAGAGAAGAACGGGGGUGAGAGUGGAAAGUUCACACUGUGACGGUAUCUUACCAGAAAGGGACGGCUAACUACGUG